rnacentral:rRNA from 1 species
ACAAUGAAGAGUUUGAUCCUGGCUCAGGAUGAACGCUAGCUACAGGCUUAACACAUGCAAGUCGAGGGGCAUCAGGAAGAAAGCUUGCUUUCUUUGCUGGCGACCGGCGCACGGGUGAGUAACACGUAUCCAACCUGCCCUUUACUCGGGGAUAGCCUUUCGAAAGAAAGAUUAAUACCCGAUAGCAUAAUGAUUCCGCAUGGUUUCAUUAUUAAAGGAUUCCGGUAAAGGAUGGGGAUGCGUUCCAUUAGGUUGUUGGUGAGGUAACGGCCCACCAAGCCUUCGAUGGAUAGGGGUUCUGAGAGGAAGGUCCCCCACAUUGGAACUGAGACACGGUCCAAACUCCUACGGGAGGCAGCAGUGAGGAAUAUUGGUCAAUGGGCGCUAGCCUGAACCAGCCAAGUAGCGUGAAGGAUGAAGGCUCUAUGGGUCGUAAACUUCUUUUAUAUAAGAAUAAAGUGCAGUAUGUAUACUGUUUUGUAUGUAUUAUAUGAAUAAGGAUCGGCUAACUCCGUGCCAGCAGCCGCGGUAAUACGGAGGAUCCGAGCGUUAUCCGGAUUUAUUGGGUUUAAAGGGAGCGUAGGUGGACUGGUAAGUCAGUUGUGAAAGUUUGCGGCUCAACCGUAAAAUUGCAGUUGAUACUGUCAGUCUUGAGUACAGUAGAGGUGGGCGGAAUUCGUGGUGUAGCGGUGAAAUGCUUAGAUAUCACGAAGAACUCCGAUUGCGAAGGCAGCUCACUGGACUGCAACUGACACUGAUGCUCGAAAGUGUGGGUAUCAAACAGGAUUAGAUACCCUGGUAGUCCACACAGUAAACGAUGAAUACUCGCUGUUUGCGAUAUACAGUAAGCGGCCAAGCGAAAGCAUUAAGUAUUCCACCUGGGGAGUACGCCGGCAACGGUGAAACUCAAAGGAAUUGACGGGGGCCCGCACAAGCGGAGGAACAUGUGGUUUAAUUCGAUGAUACGCGAGGAACCUUACCCGGGCUUAAAUUGCAGUGGAAUGAUGUGGAAACAUGUCAGUGAGCAAUCACCGCUGUGAAGGUGCUGCAUGGUUGUCGUCAGCUCGUGCCGUGAGGUGUCGGCUUAAGUGCCAUAACGAGCGCAACCCUUAUCUUCAGUUACUAACAGGUUAUGCUGAGGACUCUGGAGAGACUGCCGUCGUAAGAUGUGAGGAAGGUGGGGAUGACGUCAAAUCAGCACGGCCCUUACGUCCGGGGCUACACACGUGUUACAAUGGGGGGUACAGAAGGCAGCUAGCGGGUGACCGUAUGCUAAUCCCAAAAGCCUCUCUCAGUUCGGAUCGAAGUCUGCAACCCGACUUCGUGAAGCUGGAUUCGCUAGUAAUCGCGCAUCAGCCACGGCGCGGUGAAUACGUUCCCGGGCCUUGUACACACCGCCCGUCAAGCCAUGGGAGCCGGGGGUACCUGAAGUACGUAACCGCAAGGAUCGUCCUAGGGUAAAACUGGUGACUGGGGCUAAGUCGUAACAAGGUAGCCGUACCGGAAGGUGCGGCUGGAACACCUCCUUU